rnacentral:tRNA from 1 species
GGGUCGGUACCCAAGCGGUCAACGGGGGCAGACUGUAAAUCUGCUGGCCUUGCGCCUUCGUAGGUUCGAAUCCUACCCGGCCCACCA